rnacentral:rRNA from 1 species
GAGCGGAUGAAGGGAGCUUGCUCCUGGAUUCAGCGGCGGACGGGUGAGUAAUGCCUAGGAAUCUGCCUGGUAGUGGGGGACAACGUUUCGAAAGGAACGCUAAUACCGCAUACGUCCUACGGGAGAAAGCAGGGGACCUUCGGGCCUUGCGCUAUCAGAUGAGCCUAGGUCGGAUUAGCUAGUUGGUGAGGUAAUGGCUCACCAAGGCGACGAUCCGUAACUGGUCUGAGAGGAUGAUCAGUCACACUGGAACUGAGACACGGUCCAGACUCCUAGCGGAGGCAGCAGUGGGGAAUAUUGGACAAUGGGCGAAAGCCUGAUCCAGCCAUGCCGCGUGUGUGAAGAAGGUCUUCGGAUUGUAAAGCACUUUAAGUUGGGAGGAAGGGUUGUAGAUUAAUACUCUGCAAUUUUGACGUUACCGACAGAAUAAGCACCGGCUAACUCUGUG